UAAUGUGAAUNGCAGAAUUCCGUGAAUCAUCGAAUCUUNGAACGCACCUUGCGCUCCUUGGUAUUCCGAGGAGCAUGCCUGUUUGAGUGUCAUUAAAUUCUCAACCUU
rnacentral:rRNA from 1 species